GGCACAUAGCACAUAGUCAAUAAACACUUGCUGAACUGAUGAAUAAACCCUCUCCUCAACCCCAUAAGAAUGACAAUUAUUAUUCCCAUUUUACAGCUUCAGGAGAUCAGAUCCAACUUCUAUGUGCAAAGCCAACAACCGGAGAGUGACAGAGCUAGGACUCAAAACCACAGUGUUUCCGCAUGGAGGAAGAGAAGAAAGGGGAGAAUGGAGGGGAAACAUCUUUUAUACCGGACUCCUUGUUCCACAACCCCCACCAGCAACCCCAACCAGUGUGGCAUUUGUCUUCUGCAGUAACAUCAGGUGUCAUGAGGGAGAAUCAGCUCUACCAGAAAGUUCCUGAUUGCCCAACACGAAGUGGCCAUGGUUGGGACAGUCAUACUUCACCGUCACCCUCUGACAUCAAACACGGCCUGGACAGUGAGUUCUGAGCACUGACCACUCUAAGGCCCUUCUCUUCACUAGGUCCUGAGAACACAGUAUCAAAGCAGAUUACUGCCUUCAGUAAAUUGAUGUUAUACUAGGGAGACAGACACGUAAGUAAUCACAACGAAGACCAGGUAAACUUGUCUUGAGAAAGAGAGGGGAGCAAAUAGCUGAUGGAUCCCAGCUGUAGAAGGCUUCUAAAGAAGAUGAUAUUUAAUCUAGCAAGGUUUCCUUAGGAGGACAUUGGUUGGAAGGUCUUAAGAACUGCUACGUUCAUCCCUGAAGCUGAAACCUUUAAAAAGGAUAUAGGGAGGCUCCUGUGUUGCAGAUGCCUGAAACGGAUCCUUGAGAAACAAGUGGUCUGCAGGUACCUGUUGUAAACCAGGGGCUAAUGAAUAACUAGAGCCAAAGUGUCCACUCUGCCCUAUCCUAAGCUCAAAGGAUCUCUAACAACAUCCAUACCUCCUGGGCCACGGGUCAAGCCCUUGACAGUCACUUUUCACUUAUCACCUAACUUCAUUGUUACAACCACUGUUUCACAAGUGAAGGAACUGAGGCUCAUAGAAAUGAAGGCUUUAUGAAAAAGCCUCAAAGCUAAAGAGAAGAGUCCAGGAUUUAGUUUUCAAGUCCAGUGCUCUUGGCUCAAUACAGAGUCCUUCCUCCUCCCACUUAAUGCUGACAUUGCUCAUAGACCUGCUGUUAUUCUGAGUUCUGAAAUAAAUGUACCGGAGAACUUGGAGCAACACUUGCUGCUAUGGGACAAAAAGAAGACAGAAUUUUGUGCCUGGAGUGACUCAGGUUCAACUUCCAGCUCUCUUUAACUCCUACUUGUAACCUCAGAAAAGUUGUUUUACUUCCCUAAAACCUCAGAUUUUCCUUCUGGAAAACUGACAUCUCUGUAUUAUGAAGCUCCAAUGGAAUAGUCUAUGAUGUUUCUACACUUAGUGGGCAGUCAAUGCAAGUGAGCAGUGCCUUUCUCCUGGAGAACUUUAUGCUAAGUGCUCCUGUCAUGGUCCAUUUUGGGAGAUAAGUGAAGAUAGAAAAUGACCAUAGGCCAAGCAGUUGUCAUCACAUCAUUCUUGAGUUGGCUUUUGUUGUUAUUGCUGUUUUGGUAAUAAAUAGGGAAAUCAAGCACUAUUUUGGAGCCAUUAUUCUUGAAAACAAACUACACAAACUUAUUAGGACAUUCCUCAUAAUUUUCUUAGAUAUCUUGCCAAUGGUCAUGAUAAACAUAAAAGGGAUUGUAGACUACUGUCCAAACCUGCCUGCAAAUUAAGCUGAUUUCUCUAUUUCUUAACAGUUUGUCAGUCAUCAAUUGCAAGCCAUCCACUGCCAUAGGUGUUUGGUUGUGAGUAAUUACUAAGGGAAUGUGAUGAUUUCCGGC